UGUACAGAAACCAAAGGGUAAAAACAAUUUGCUCUUUUGUGGGGGGCUAUGUUCCAGACCAUUUCUUGGCUGGAAGCCACAGCGGGAGCGUCUCAUCUAACUCUCCACCAGCGAGAGAAUAAGCAUAUUUCCUAGAAUGCCCAACUUUUCCUUUAGGAAAGGAGUUAAAAAUACCAAUAGAAGGGGAAGAUGUGAAAGUGAAAGGUCAACUGCUCUGAGGUGUGGGGGCAACAAUUUAAACUGCUGGAUCCCCUUUGGAUUUUGAUUGAAGCAAACAACAGAGAGGAGUGAUUCUGUCCACUAAAUGCGAGGACCCCAAAGCAUUUGGACAAAGAUGGCCACAAACCAGCCCUCCCCAUUGCAAGAAAAAGGCGACUCAACAGCAGAUGCCUGCGGUGGAACAGAAUAUUCACAAACUAGCUGAACAGACCUAAGCAAUCAAAACUACGGUGACCAAAGCAGUGAUUCACUGGCUGGUAAGCGUUGGCCCUCCACAUAACGCCAACACAGGCCUAAAUACCCCCUUCUGACUGAGCUCUUGAUGCUGCAUGAACACAAGGAUAGCCACUCUGUAGGCACGACCCCAUGAACCCUGCAAUCGCUCAGCACACUAUUCUAAACAAAAAACUUUGUUUUUACACAUGUGCAACCAAACUGGGUCUACUCUAAUCAAUUCUAUCAAACUAAGCAAAUGUUCAGCAUACCAUAUAUCUGCCUGCAUGCUCUACCAAUCCCCUGCUCACUGUUUAGUCUCCUCAUUUAACAGGUACAGCCAGACCAAAACCAUUUAGUUUCGCCUGGCUAAAACGGGUUUCAUUUCGGUUUCUGCUUCAAUGGUGAAGCUGUAUCACUUCAUUUUGUACUUAGAUUGCAUUAUUAAGGUGGCAAAAUGUAUAAUAUAAAUGUCUCAGAGCAAAAAAAUUUAGACAGCAGCUCUAAA